GCACCCGUGGCGAAAUUGGCAUACGCGCCAGAUUUAGGUUCUGGUCUCGCAGGAGGUAGGGGUUCAACUCCCCUCGGGUGCACCA
rnacentral:tRNA from 2 species